ensembl:lncRNA
GUAUUCAGCAUUUCACUGUAAGGUCUACUACACCUGUUGUAUUCAGCAUUUCACUGUGAGGUUUACUACACCUGUUGUAUUCAGCAUUUCACUGUGAGGUCUACUACACCUGUUGUAUUCAGCAUUUCACUGUAAGGUCUACUACGCCUGUUGUAUUCAGCAUUUCACUGGAAAGGUCUACUACACCUGUUGUAUUCAGCAUUUCACUGUAAGGUCUACUACACCUGUUGUAUUCAGCAUUUCACUGUAAGGUCUACUACACCUGUUGUAUUCAGCAUUUCACUGUAAGGUCUACCUACACCUGUUGUAUUCAGCAUUUCACUGUAAGGUCUACCUACACCUGUUGUAUUCAGCAUUUCACUGUAAGGUCUACUACACCUGUUGUAUUCAGCAUUUCACUGUGAGGUCUACUACACCUGUUGUAUUCAGCAUUUCACUGUGAGGUCUACUACACCUGUUGUAUUCAGCAUUUCACUGGAAAGGUCUACUACACCUGUUGUAUUCAGCAUUUCACUGGAAAGGUCUACCUACACCUGUUGUAUUCAGCAUUUCACUAAGGUCUACUACACCUGUUGUAUUCAAGUCUACUACACCUGUUGUAGUCAGCAUUUCACUGUAAGGUCUACUACACCUGUUGUAUUCAGCAUUUCACUGUAAGGUCUACUUCACCUGUUGUAUUCAGCAUUUCAC